CGUGCCUAAUACAUGCAAGUCGAGCGGUAACAUUUCUAGCUUGCUAGAAGAUGACGAGCGGCGGACGGGUGAGUAACGCGUAGAAAUCUACCUAGUAGUGGGGGAUAGCCCAGAGAAAUUUGGAUUAAUACCGCAUACGCCCUACGGGGGAAAGCGGGGGAUCUUCGGACCUCGUGCUAUUAGAUGAGUCUGCGUCGGAUUAGCUUGUUGGUGAGGUAAUGGCUCACCAAGGCGACGAUCCGUAGCUGGUCUGAGAGGAUGACCAGCCACACUGGAACUGAGACACGGUCCAGACUCCUACGGGAGGCAGCAGUGGGGAAUAUUGCACAAUGGGCGCAAGCCUGAUGCAGCCAUGCCGCGUGUGUGAAGAAGGCCUUAGGGUUGUAAAGCACUUUCAGCAGUGAGGAAAGGGGUGUCGUUAAUAGCGCCAUCCUGUGACGUUAACUGCAGAAGAAGGACCGGCUAACUCCGUG
rnacentral:rRNA from 1 species